rnacentral:tRNA from 1 species
GAUUUUUUAGUAUAGGAAGUAUUUUUGAUUUCCAAUCAAAAGGUUAUAAGAAUUGAUAGUGUGAAUAAAAAUGG